CUGUGAAGGAGUUUCCAGAAAGCUUCUUCAUUAAACAACAGGUUCAACAUUGCAGGGCUAUAUGUUUUGGGGGCUAUUGUGCUUUCACAGACUUUUUGAAAUGUAGCCACACUUCAGGGUGA